UAUAAGUAGUACAAAAUAAACAUACUAACAAACAAACAAACAAACAAACUAACAAAACCAAAUUAAAAAAAACUAGUAGUGCAGUUAAUGAACAAAGAGUUAGUUAAAUAAGUAGUUUUGUUAUGAAAUAAUCUUUCCAACAGUUGAUACAAGUACAGCCGAAACUAUAAGUCAAGCAGGUGUGGCAAGCAUCAAUUGGUCAAUAAUAGCAACAUCAACAAAGAAGAUAAAAUGGUAGUGAAGCAUAUGAACAAUAAAUAAAUAAAUAACAAUGGCAAUACUACCAACCAAACAUAUCAACAAUAUUGAGUGUUGAAAAAUAAGAAAAAGGAAAAAAAAAAAUAAAAUAAAAAUUAAACAUAACAACAAAUAACAAAACAUUACAUUUUCACAUGACUCACCGUGUAGAUCCAGUCUAAACUGUGCAUUAGGGACUUUUUUUUUAAAAGUCUAACCUCUCAUUUUGUGCAGUUUCCUACUUCAAAACCACAAUUUGCCAUGAGUCAAACCCGGAAAUAGUGAGAUGUUGGGGGUUGGACCUCGUGUGUGUAUGUGUGUGUGUGUGAGGGGGCAGAGAGAGAGAGAAGUUGCUGUCUGCUCUCUUGGGAAGAAACAUCAAAUCCGCCGGCUGCUGAUCUGAGUUGAUCUUUUGGGAAUAUCGAUCAAUAGAGGAAACUUUUUUCCUAGGGGAACUUUGUGCAGCAUCAUCCGGACUCUCGCUUUUUUAUUAUCCGGAUGAAAUGGUAACAAUAAAGCAGCUGACAUCUCAUUCAUAAGCGGUGACAACAAGUCGUCUUGUGGCUCGGAUGUGCGACAGAGGAGUGCAGAUCAAGGCACACGGUGUCCAUUCAAGAGACAGAAAAGCAGAGCAGGACGAGCUGCGGGAGGAAUACAAAUUAUACUGGUGAAAGAAAAACCGUCCGACAAGAAGAAUGAGACAAGCUGCCGGUGUGGAGCCGUAAAAAAACCCGGAGAUUUGUGUGUAGUGUGUCUUUUUGUGAGGCUGCUGUCCACUUCCAGCCCCGAAGAGGAUUCAGAGAAAUCCAGUGAAGUGUUUGUGUGAUCUGCGACUUUAACCGGAGGGAUGACAGUCAAGUUGGACUUUGAGGAGUGUUUGAAAGACUCUCCGCGCUUCAGAGCUGACAUCGAAGGGGUCCAAAGCGAUGUGAGUGAACUCGAGACACGGUUAGAAAAGCUUGUGAAACAAUGCCAGGCCAUGCUGGAGGCCGGCAGAGCGUACUGCCAGACCAGCAAGAGCUUCGUCAACGGCCUCCGGGACCUGGGACAACACUGCUCCGGGGACAAGAUGAUGGAGGAGUGUUUGGACAAAUUUUCCAAAAAGCUGUCUAUCAUCUUGGAGGCACAGGAGGAGGUGAUUGAGAUCACACAGAAGUCAGUCAAGUUGAAGCUGCACAACUUUGUCAAAGAAGAUGUCCGUCGGUUCAAGGAUGUGCGCAAGGAGUUUGAGCGAGGCAGUGAAUGCCUGGAGGGGGCGCUGGUGAGGAACGCUCAGGCCCCACGGCAGAAAGUCCACGAAGUCGAAGAGGCGAGCAAUGCUCUGCUCAACGCACGCAGGGCCUUUCGGUCCGAGGCCCUGGACUACGUCCUGGAGAUCAACGUCAUCGAGGCCAAGAAGAAGACAGACAUUAUGAUGGCAAUGUUGUCACUGAUGGAGGCCCAGGCUCAGCUCUUCCAACAUGGCCACCAGUCUCUGGCAGACCUGGACGAGUAUCGACGGAAACUGAAUGAAGAGCACACUCAGUUUGUCCUAAACGCUGCCCGGGAGAAGAGGGACAUGGAGCAAAGACACGCUGCAAUCAAGAAAAAGGACGUGUCGUACGACGACUCCAUCAUGGAUUUCAACGCUGAUGCCUCUAAUGGGAUCGCCAUGGAGGGAUACCUCUACAAGAGAGCCAGCAACGCCUUCAAGACCUGGAGCAGGCGCUGGUUUUCAAUUAAAAAGAAUCAGCUGGUGUAUCAGAAGAAAUUCAAGGACCAGCCUACAGUUGUGGUGGAGGACUUGCGUCUUUGCACAGUGAAGCAAAGCAGUGAAAACGAGAGACGGUUCUGCUUUGAAGUGGUCUCCCCAUCAAAGUGUUGUUUGUUGCAGGCAGACUCAGAAAGGCAGCAGCAGGCGUGGAUCAGGGCUGUCCAGAACAGCAUCGCCUCGGCCUUCCAGGAGCACAGAGAGGACACACACAGCCCAAGACAGCGCUGCAGCUCGGUGUCGACGGCUUUGGCAGGAGGGGGAGGCGGAGGAGGAGGAGACCAGGAGAACAAGGGCUGCAAAGCGCUGGAGGAGGUCCAGGCGAUCACUGGGAACAAGCAGUGCUGCGACUGUGGGGAGCCCGGUCCUGAUUGGGCCUCCAUCAACCUGGGCAUCACGCUUUGUAUUGUCUGCUCAGGAAUACACAGGAGCCUGGGAGUCCAUUUCUCCAAAGUACGCUCCCUCACUCUGGACUCCUGGGAGCCGGAGCUCAUUAAGUUGAUGUGUGAAUUAGGGAACACAGUCAUCAACAGGAUCUAUGAGGCCCGGAUCGAUGAGAUCACCAUCAAGAAGCCCCACCCCUCCAGUCCCAGAGGAGACAAGGAGUCAUGGAUCCGAUCAAAAUACGUAGAAAAGAAGUUUAUCCAAAAGCUGCCAGAGACCAGGAACACCCUGCUGAGGCGGUCCAGCGCCAGGAGGGACCGAGCAGCCACGCAGGACCGGACGGCACAGCGGCCGCCGCUCAAACCCAAACCUAACAGAGCCACUCUGCCUCGUGUCACAGGGCUGAGCCCCAGUGACCUUGUCCAAAAGAACAAUGCACACAAAGAUGUUGCAGAGGAAGAGGAGGAUCUGAGUGGACUUCACCCCGGCGCCCUGCUGUACCGCUCGGCCGCCCUGCAGAACUUCCCCGUCAUGGCCGACGCUUUGGCCCACGGAGCCGACGUCAACUGGGUCAACGCGGCCGAGGAGUCCAGCACGCCGCUGAUACAGGCCGUCUCAGCGAAUGCUUUGGCAGCCUGCGAGUUCCUGCUGCAGAACGGUGCUAACGUCAACCAGGCAGACAGCAGCGGGAGAGGACCGCUCCACCACGCCACCAUCCUGAGUCACACCGGGUUGGUUUGUCUCUUCUUGAAGCGAGGCGCGGACUACAACGCGAAAGACAAGAACCAGAAAGACCCCAUAACUAUCGCUGUGGACACCGCCAACGCUGACAUCGUCACUUUGCUGCGGAUCGCCAAAAUGAACAAGGAGAUGCGGGAGAUGGACGAAGCUUUUGGCCAAUCAGGUCACUCGGGGGGGCAGGGAUCUGGGGUUUUAGUGGGCGGGACAGGAGGUGGGCGGGCCCACACCAGGAAGAGCCUCCAAGCUAUAAAGAACCACAUAAGUGGCUGGGCUCUGGGGGGGCAAAAUGAUUAAAAAUCAGUCUGGGACCACAGACGGGCAGCGAGACUGGAAUGGGCUUGUUUUUGGUUGUACGCUAAAAGGAAAAACAUGUUUAAGUCAAGCAGUUACGCAUCAUAAAUCACUGGUUUUGCAGUGUCAUGUGCUGUUUAUCUGCAGCAUCUGCAGAGAAAUGAUCCCGGCCUUCAGCUCGCAACAUCCAAGGAAACGUGCGUCAUCACUUCUAAGAUAAAAAAAAAGAAAGAAAUUGCUUUCAUUGAGAAAGCAUAAAAUUCAAUUUUGUAUACUAAGAAAGAGCCAGAACACAGGGUACAAGCGUAUAAAGGCUCAAGGAUGCAAGUGAUAACAGAUUUAUUGUAUUAGUGAAGACAGGGAAAUGUCUUUGUGAAACAAAAAAGAAACAUUGUGAGAGUUACAGGAGUCCACGUUGCACUUUGAAUUACAAACGCACAUCAUCCUGCACUUUGAAACCCACAGAAUCUCCCCGUCAAUAGGGAGCGCUGCGUGUGGGUGUUUCCACUGUUGUAUAACAGAGGUUCAAGAAAAUGUAUAUAUAAUAGACCUAUAUCAGGAUAUUGUAUAUUUGGGUUAUUUUUAUAUACAGUAUGUACAGUGUUCUGGCUUUCUCAGAUUUUAUUGUGUCCAUGUGUAUGUAUAUGGAUGGUUUUCAGUGCGGUUAUGUAAGCUAAGUUCAAUUUUCAGUUUGGUUCUGAAGGACGAUUUUAUCCUGCUAUUCUGUGAAUAGUCUGAACUCUCUGUUUUAUAUUACAUGUUUAUAUUUAUCACAAUUUCAAGAGCGCUGUGCUGCAGCUCUUGAGCUUAAAGUGGGUUUUUUUGUUUGCAUUUUGUCAUUUGGCUCCUUUUCAAGCUGCAAAGUCCAUUCUUUCAUGAUUGUCUUUUAGUGGCUAUGGAGGCUUUUUUUGUGUGUGUCAGCUGUAUUUAAUCAGUCUCACUCAUGAAGGAAUGGAAACGUGACGCUUUUUGUCUGCUUGAAACAACUGCUGGUCAGUAUUUGACGUGCUGUGCUUUAUCACUGUGUGUCUUUGUUGUGUGUGCACUCAUGUUUCUUUGCCUUCUGCCCGCUGAGAUGUCCAGCUGGUCUCAACUAGCUUGUGCAGUGUGCCACCUACUGCAAACUCAGAGGUGACGACACCUAUCACGACAUCUUCAGAGACUUUUCCCACAUGGCCUCCAACAACCCCGAGAAGCUCAAACGCCGCAGCGCAGACCCCAAAACUUAACCAGCUGUUGCCUCCUCUUCACCCCGCCACAUUUCACACUCACAUACUUUUAAACAUACACACACACACACACAUAGAUAUAACAUGCUAGUAUCCAAUCCACAGACAUGCAGACACACACACACGUCUGCUGGCUACCUGCCACAUGUUCAGUCAUAGCUCAGCUGGUGUUGACUUCAGAGGGGAUGAACGCUGCAAACAGUGAAUUCUUUGUGUGAACACGUCAGAGCAGAACAAUUGCAUCCAAGUGGGAACACUGGAGCAGCUUUAUGAGGCCAGCGUGAGGUGUCUUUAACACCAUCACUCUGCUGAGACUUAUUUUUUAAUUAAAUCCAGUAAAUCUGUUUAUUUUUUUCUAAACUAAAAGGGCUGUUUUUUAUGUUCCUGUGCCAUUUCUUUUUUUGAAUUUGUUACAUGAAAAGUGUUUAAAAUGGACUUAACAUUUUUUGUGAACUGUCUUCCAUUGAUUUUAAUGUAAACAGAUUUUUACAUGUGGGACUUUUUUUUUUUAGACAUAUCAUGUCUACUUAACUGUGGAGGUACUUGAGAUUUGUAUCAUGAUAAAAUAAACUGCAGUACAAAAGUUG